rnacentral:tRNA from 1 species
GCGGCAUUAGCUCAGCUGGAUAGAGCAUUAGUUUGCGGAACUAAAGGUCACAAGUUCAAAUCUUGUAUGCCGCGCCA